rnacentral:rRNA from 1 species
AUUGAACGCUGGCGGCAUGCCUUACACAUGCAAGUCGAACGGUAACAGGUUAAGCUGACGAGUGGCGAACGGGUGAGUAAUAUAUCGGAACGUGCCCAGUAGUGGGGGAUAGCCCGGCGAAAGCCGGAUUAAUACCGCAUACGACCUACGGGUGAAAGGGGGGGAUCGCAAGACCUCUCGCUAUUGGAGCGGCCGAUAUCGGAUUAGGUAGUUGGUGGGGUAAAGGCCUACCAAGCCUGCGAUCUGUAGUUGGUCUGAGAGGACGACCAGCCACACUGGGACUAAGACACGGCCCAGACUCCUACGGGAGGCAGCAGUGGGGAAUUUUGGACAAUGGGCGCAAGCCUGAUCCAGCAAUGCCGCGUGCAGGAAGAAGGCCUUCGGGUUGUAAACUGCUUUUGUCAGGGAAGAAAUCCUCUGGGUUAAUACCUCGGGGGGAUGACGGUACCUGAAGAAUAAGCACCGGCUAACUACGUGCCAGCCGCCGCCGUAAUAC